CACAAGUUUACAUCCCUCUUAAGUUUCCAUACUUAAGUAAGAGUAUGUGAAAAGUAGUUAGGGUUGCCACCUUUCUUGGAAAAACAUACCGGCCUUACUAAUUUAUGUGUGGGUAACAUCACAUGAUGUAAAUCACAAGGAGUGACAUAAGAGAAAAUGCUGUAAAAUCACCAAAAAACUAUUUAGUUUAAAUCUGCUGUAAAGAUGGAUUCCUCCCAGUGCCGCCAUGACUCAGUGCCCCCAUAUGUCGAUUACUCCAGGUCUCAGUGUUCCUAUGUAUCAGUGUCUCAGUGCCCCAUGUCUCCCAGUGUCCCUAAGUGCCGUGUCCCCAUGUCUCCCAGUGAUCCUAUGUAUCAGUGUCUCAAUGCCCUAUGUCUCCCUGUGUCCCCAUGUAUCCCAGGGUCCCCAUGUCACUAGGACACUAGGAAGACGGGGAGACCUGGGGAGACCUAGGGACACGGAGACACCAGUGACACUGGGAGACUAGGGGACUCUGGCUGGGACACAUGGGGACAAUGGGAAAAUAGGGGACACUUGAAGACAUGGGAUCACAGACACCAGGGACAAAGAUACUAGAGACACUGGCGGGGGGACAUGGUGACAUUGAGACAUGGGGGCACUGGGAGACAUGGGGACACUGAGAUACCAGGGCCACAGACACUAGGGACACUAGCUUGGUGACAUUGUGACACUUGAGGCACUGAGAGACAUGGAGGCACUAGGAGACAUGGGGACAGUGAGACACUGGCAGACUGGGGGCACUGGGAGAGUAGGGGUCACUGGAAGACUAGGGGUCACUGGGAGACUAGAGGCACUGAGACACCAGGGACACUGGCUGAGAGACAUGGGGACACUGUGUCCCCAUGUGUCUGUGUCAUAAUGUCUCCCAAUGUCCCUUAGUGUCUCAGUGUCUGCCAUAAUGUCUACCAAUGUCCCUUAGUGUCUCAGUGUAUGUCUCCCUGCUGCCUUUCCCCCCAUCCCUUACUUCCCUGAGCUGUAGGCUGUCUCUGCAGGGUGGGAGUUGCUGUCUGGACUCUCUGUAGCUGCACCCCUGCAGAUCAGUGAGUAUAGAUAGGCAGGGAGGGAUAUGC